rnacentral:misc_RNA from 1 species
GAUGAAGAACGUAGCGAAAUGCGAUAAGUAAUGUGAAUUGCAGAAUUCAGUGAAUCAUCGAAUCUUUGAACGCACAUUGCGCCCGCCAGUAUUCUGGCGGGCAUGCCUGUUCGAGCGUCAUUACAACCCUCAGGCCCCCGGGCCUGGCGUUGGGGAUCGGCGGAGCCCCCCGUGGGCACACGCCGUCCCCCAAAUACAGUGGCGGUCCCGCCGCAGCUUCCAUCGCGUAGUAGCUAACACCUCGCGACUGGAGAGCGGCGCGGCCACGCCGUAAAACACCCAACUCUUCUGAAGUUGACCUCGAAUCAGGUAGGAAUACCCGCUGAACUUAAGAAUAUCAAUAAGCGGAGGA